rnacentral:siRNA from 1 species
AGUAUAUUUCGAUAGUUAAAGUGC